UGGCUCACUUUUCAAUAACCUCAAGAGUUCAUCUCCUUUUCCAGGAAGUUCACCCCCAUGCCAGUGGCUGGAUGAGAAAACGGACCUGGACGUUGACUUUAAGGCCUUCCUGACGACCCCAUCUAGAACAUCUCAAUUCUCUGCUCUAGCCCCCUACUCUACUUUAUUUCCCUUUCAAACAUUCUAUGUAUUUUUAUUAUAUUUAUUGGGUUUCCCUCUCUGGAAUGUAACUGCAUGAAGGAAGGGGGUUGUCUCUUUUUGUUCACCCUUAUGCUUCCAAAACAGCACCCAGGAUUUACUGAUAUAAUGAAUAGAUGCUUCCAUAUCUCUCUUGCCCUAACUUGAGUUCCUUGGGUACAGAGCCAGCAUCUUAUUCAUAUUUGGGGGCCCUGAGCUAAAUGCUCCAUAAAUGUUUGCUGUUCUAAUCAGUAGGAGACCUAGAGCCUCACAACAUAAGCCGAACCAACAAUUAAUGGUGUUGAGCAUGCAAAUAUUUUAAAAUAUGUUUAUUAUGUACUUUACAUUGAGCACUUCAGAAAAGAAAAUAAUUACAAUGAUUUCAAAAUGCAAUUACUGGAUUCAAUAAAUAUGCUUUAUAAUUACGCCCAAUCAAUAUCUACAAUAUUUGUGGACACUAUGUCAGCUAGCAAAUAAGUAAAAUAACUAUUUUAUUUUUAUUUAU